rnacentral:rRNA from 1 species
UACAGAGGUCUCAAGCGUUGUUCGGAUUCAUUGGGCGUAAAGGGUGUGUAGGUGGCGCCGUAAGUCGGGUGUGAAAUUUCGGAGCUUAACUCCGAAACUGCAUUCGAUACUGCGGUGCUUGAGGACUGGAGAGGAGACUGGAAUUCAUGGUGUAGCAGUGAAAUGCGUAGAGAUCAUGAGGAAGACCAGUGGCGAAGGCGGCGCGCUGGACCACUACUGACGCUGAGGAACGAAAGCUAGGGGAGCAAACAGG